rnacentral:rRNA from 1 species
ACAUGCUAAGUGGGCUUGAUUGUGGGGAAAACUCCAUAGUUAAGCAUGCUUGAGCCAAAGGAGUAUUUGGAUGGGUGACCACCCGGGAAGUCCUGGUUACCAGGUC